GAUGAACGCUGGCGGCGUGCCUAAUACAUGCAAGUCGAGCGAAUGGAUUAAGAGCUUGCUCUUAUGAAGUUAGCGGCGGACGGGUGAGUAACACGUGGGUAACCUACCCAUAAGACUGGGAUAACUCCGGGAAACCGGGGCUAAUACCGGAUGAUUCUUUUCUACACAUGUAGGAAAGCUAAAAGAUGGUUUACGCUAUCACUUAUAGAUGGGCCCGCGGCGCAUUAGCUAGUUGGUGAGGUAACGGCUCACCAAGGCCACGAUGCGUAGCCGACCUGAGAGGGUGAUCGGCCACACUGGGACUGAGACACGGCCCAGACUCCUACGGGUGGCUG
rnacentral:rRNA from 1 species